CCUACGGGGGGCUGCAGUGGGGAAUUUUCCGCAAUGGGCGAAAGCCUGACGGAGCAAUACCGCGUGAGGGAGGAAGGCUCUUGGGUUGUAAACCUCUUUUGUCAGGGAAGAAGAUCUGACGGUACCUGACGAAUCAGCAUCGGCUAACUCCGUGCCAGCAGCCGCGGUAAUACGGAGGAUGCAAGCGUUAUCCGGAUUUAUUGGGCGUAAAGCGUCCGCAGGUGGUUUUUCAAGUCUGCUGUCAAAGCGCAGGGCUCAACUCUGUACAGGCGGUG
rnacentral:rRNA from 1 species